GCCCGUCGCUCCUACCGAUUGGAUGACUCGGUGAAAUCACCGGAUGCUUACGAGCAGAAAGUGAUUAAAUCACGUUAUCUAGAGGAAGGAGAAGUCGUAACAAGGUAACGGUAGGUGAACCUGCCGUUGGAUCAGUUCUAGUUUUAAUAACUAACACCAACUUCUUUUAUUAAACAAAAACCAAUACAAAAUUAAAAACUAACUUCAUCAAAAACCAAGUCUCUAAGCA
rnacentral:rRNA from 1 species